GACGAACGCUGGCGGCACGCUUAACACAUGCAAGUCGAACGAGAGAAGAGAAGCUUGCUUUUCUGAUCUAGUGGCGGACGGGUGAGUAACACGUGAGCAAUCUGCCUUUCAGAGGGGGAUACCGAUUGGAAACGAUCGUUAAUACCGCAUAACAUAAUUGAACCGCAUGAUUUGAUUAUCAAAGAUUUAUCGCUGAAAGAUGAGCUCGCGUCUGAUUAGCUAGUUGGUAAGGUAACGGCUUACCAAGGCGACGAUCAGUAGCCGGACUGAGAGGUUGAUCGGCCACAUUGGGACUGAGACACGGCCCAGACUCCUACGGGAGGCAGCAGUGGGGAAUAUUGCACAAUGGAGGAAACUCUGAUGCAGCGAGGCCGCGUGAGGGAAGAAGGUUUUAGGAUUGUAAACCUCUGUCUUCAGGGACGAAAAAAGACGGUACCUGAGGAGGAAGCUCCGGCUAACUACGUG
rnacentral:rRNA from 1 species